rnacentral:ncRNA from 24 species
AUAAUAAAUAUGAUUAUAGGUUUUGGUUAGUAUAAGUCUAAUUAAAUUAAAAGGGAAAGCAGUUAAAGUCUGCUACAGCCCCCGCUACUGUAAUGGAGUACUGUCUCAAAUAACCACUGGAAUUUAAUUCUGGGAAGGGUGAGUGUUCAGGUUGAUACCAAAGUCAGGAGACCUGCCUAUAAAAUUUUGACUAUU